AUUGAACGCUGGCGGCAUGCCUUACACAUGCAAGUCGAACGGUAACGGGCCUUCGGGUGCCGACGAGUGGCGAACGGGUGAGUAAUGCAUCGGAACGUACCUUUCAGUGGGGGAUGACGUAGCGAAAGUUACGCUAAUACCGCAUAUUCUGUGAGCAGGAAAGCAGGGGAUCGCAAGACCUUGCGCUGAUUGAGCGGCCGAUGUCAGAUUAGCUAGUUGGUGAGGUAAAGGCUCACCAAGGCGACGAUCUGUAGCGGGUCUGAGAGGAUGAUCCGCCACACUGGAACUGAGACACGGUCCAGACUCCUACGGAGGCAGCAGUGGGGAAUUUUGGACAAUGGGGGCAACCCUGAUCCAGCCAUGCCGCGUGAGUGAAGAAGGCCUUCGGUUGGUAAAGACGUCUUUCGGUCCGGGAACGGAAAGUACGCAU
rnacentral:rRNA from 1 species